AAGAACAAGGAGGGCAGACACUUGCAACUUUCUGAAGUGAUGUUAUGCUGCUCUGUGUGGACUAGCACCUGAAGCCCUCUGAAAUGUGUUUUUCUACAGCAUGCAAUGAUCAGCUCUGAGCUAACACUUCCACAAGAAGCCACAGUGCACUGCAUAAGGUCUUUCAGUUUGUCCAACUUCCCAAGGGAUCAAAGAACUCUCAGAACAACCUUUGGCUGAACUCAGAAAAAAUGACUACUCAACAAAGAGGAUGAUUUCUUCUUAAGCAGCUUCUGUUUCCACUCCUGGUAUAGGAAAUACUGUUGUUCUUUAGCGAAGAGUCCUCUGAGACACUCUGGCUUUAUGUGAGGUCAAAAUUCCUCAACAGCUCACUGCAGCCUCCUCCUGACACAGCAUCAUUAUAAUGCUCUUGAUCCUCUAAGAAAAUCUUCACCCGGACUGAAGAAUAUCAUUAGUGCGACUCACAAGACCACCCAAUUUGAGUGAUCCUACACCAGUAGGUGUAGGGUUAGAAUAAGCAUUGUCUCAACAGCUAGCUUAGUUACAGAACUCAAAUGGAGCUCCUGAUUUACCUCGGCAGAUAGCUGAACAACCCAAUCUUCUGCUGAUAUUAUAAAGAAAGCCUACAGUAGAUAAAUCAGAUUGCUAGUAGGCUGGACAAAACCUAUGUACUACUACUGAAAAAAACCCCUUCAUGAUCCAUCUUAUCCAUGCAGUCUAAUGGAAGUGACAGUUCCUGGAACUUACUCAUUUUUAAUCCAUGGGACACUGUGUGUCACAAGAUAAUCAAUAGGUGAAGCCAGUGGCUGUCCUGUGUCUUUGGAAUUCCAUGAGAUCCACAGAGGUAACUAAGACAAGCAAACCUUGCUGAAUGAACAAAACAAGUAUACAUAUGAAAACUGUAUCUGCUGAACAGAGUUAGACACAUUGUAAAAGGUUGAAAACUGAAGGACAAAUGUACAACUCCCCAGUUUGAAGGUGAACACAGAGGACAGCUUGAGACUUUGACUCAAGUAGACAACCACACUCAGGAAUGCACCCCAAAGAGCAAUCCUAGGAGAUAGUCUUGCGUUUUCCAUUUCUAACUUCUUUGAUUCCAAACAUUUCCAUGUCCUUUAAAUAGAACAGGACUCCUAUCAAUCUCUUGAUCUGUUCUGCUGGCACACACAAUGACGUGCAGAUGAAGCCAUAAGGGUUUUACUGCCUUUUUUUCCCUAAAAAAAUAUGUCCAAACUGCUUUUGGAUUCACUGCUUUUCCACCUCAUCAUUCUGCUACUUCUUCCCAUUUCUCUGCUGAUUACCUUGCAUGACUUCUCUCCCAUUUGCAAGAUGUAUGCUUUACUUUAUAAAGUUUCUUGUGCACUAAAAAAACCCCAAACAACUAAGUCAAGCAGCUACCAGAGCUGGAAGGUCUUGCCUUUCUCCAACUGGCAUAGCCAUCAUGUACUAGCCAUCAUGUUAACUUUCAGUAUGGAUUAUUGUUAUGGAACUUGUAUUACCUUGGCUGUUUGCCCAGCAUGUCCUUGAUAACUCAAAAAGUCACAAAAAGUGAGUAAUACUCUGGUCCUAGUCAAUAAGACACAGGAUCAUCAUGAUGGAGAUGGCCUUAGUGUUCAAAAUUUGGCACUCUAUAUGAAAAAAUGGUUUAGAUUGCUUUCCAUUAAUAACUACUAUUAAACUUUAUUCUUCAUCUUGCUCUUCAAGACUGGUAUUGAUUGUCAGGUGCUUGGAUGCUAAGAAUAUCCUUGGAUAAUAUUUUGGGAGUUUAAGACACUAACAAGUUUCUGAAAUGAAUGGGAUUUUCUGGAUAGCAGACAAAAUACAUCAGGAUAGAUUUUUCCAUACACAAGUAGCUUAAUAUUUGUCUCUGAGAUGGGAGCAAUGCCAAGUAAUGCAUUUUGGCUGUGCAGUCCUAUGCAAUCAUGUUCUCAGUAGAAUUAUAUUCUUCUGGUGUGGGAUGGUUUGUUAUCCCGGUGUAUGACCCUUUAGUAAUAUUUCCUAGUCAACUGUUUGACACAGAGCUGGCUUUCCUAGAUUUCUCCAUCUAAAUAAUCAUGUGUUUUCACAAUCGCACUGUGAUUGGUUCAGAGCAAUGUCACAAGUAACUGGUGAAGCAAACACCAACAAAAUCACAAGCCAUUCCAGUAUCACAAGUGGUCAGCCUCAAGGAACAUUGUUAAUCCAAGUGAAGACUCAUUUUUCAAAUAGAAGCUAAAGCAUAAACCCCCACAAAACCUGAAUAAAAAGACCAAUAUCUUUCAUUUGUUUUUAACGGGGUAGUUCAGGGGGAAAAAAAGUCCCAAGAGGCAAAUCUAAAGACUUUGUAGAAACAGUGACUGAAAUGAGAAGAUAAAAUUUGGAGUAAAGUGACGUUUUCAUAGAUUCAUGCAUUUAUCUUUUGUGUUUAGAAACUAGGAACACAGACAUGAAACACAAACAUUUAUUUUUUGUGUGUUAGGUGAUGGUAGUGGAUGGGGAAUACUUGCUGCAGUCAGUGGACUGACCUGCCCUGGCACAAGCAGUUAGUUACAUAAAGGCCUGUACUGCAGUCUCAGGAUAGGAACUUCUGUUAUCUGUCUCUGGCAAAUAGACUUUUACACCUAAUUAUCACAGAGUGUGUUACCUACUUGUGUGUUCCUUGCUGUCUGGUUAUUGCUUGUGCUCAGUAUCUCCCUCAUUAAUUUUAUCCUUCUUCCGCCCUGUACCUCACUAAUCAGAGAUAAGUAACAUUCAUCAGUAAUCCUUUUCCUCCUCAGAACUCUCCCAGGUAAAGCUCUUUGGGUAUUUGAGAACAGGAAGAAUUUGCAUUUUAAAAACAAGGUCUGUCUUUUCUAGACACUCAUGCAGAAGAAGCUAAAGCUAGGAAAAUGGCAUGAUAAGUCUGUUCCUCAUUUCCAUGGCUAAAACCUGGUACUUGCAUGUUUGUCAUUACAAUAAAUAUCCAACAUUUCCACAAAUGCUAUCCCUCCUCUAGGGAUUUUCCAUCGCUGUUGAUACUACGCAAUUUUAACCACCUCUCCCUAAAUUACAUUGCCUUCAUUUGAGGCAUUC